UAAAUCGUUCUUGUUGUUAAAACUUGCCUAUUCUAAAUGGAUCACAAUAUAUAUUAUUACAUUUUUGAAUUCUACUCCAAAUGGGGAACUUGGACAUUUUCUUUUUAUUUCUUUAAUAUAUUUGUCUAUCUAUAGAAAUCGCGCAUACCAAAUAUCUGCUCUCAAAUCGCAAUAUUUAAGUUGCGAUAAACAAUUAAAGUCAAAAACAACACUACACGCGCGGGAAUAGUCGUGACGUCGUGACAACUUUUAAAAGGCCAGAAAAGCUAUUUAUUCGUGUACCACGAGAUAAAAUCAGCCCUUUAAAAUGGUUAAAGGGUAAAGGUAUGCAAGGAUAUUUCUGAGAAGACUACUGCCCAUGUAUGUUAAGAUCGUUUUAAUGACUUGGAUGAAGACUGACGAAGCCGGACUUAAAACUGAAGAAAGAAAAGCUGGUACUCGUCGCUAAAGAGAAAUGGGUGGACUUGUUGGUAAAGCUUAACUCGAUGCUUCACUUAUCCAAUAGCUUAUUCGGAGGUUUGAUUUCGGUAAGGAAUGAAUUAGCAAGGUAUCCUGAUAUUUAAACGGAUGCAAAUAUGUGUAUGUGUGCAAAAAAUUGAUUCCCGUUUAGUAUCUUCUUAAAUUAUAAAUCUUUGAAUUUGGAAUUUGUAACUUAGUUGGUGUUAUAAAAUUUUAUGUAGUUUAACAAUUUGAUUUUAAACUUUAUACAAUUAAAGAAACGUUAAUUUUAUCAGAAUCAAGAAUUUACACAUAAAACACCUAUCAAGGGUUUGGCUUAGUAAAUAAUUAAUUAUAGGGGUUACAAUGAACGAUUAUAAUCAUCCAAGUAGCACUAUAUAUACACAAUCCAGUUCUUACUUCACUAAUCCUAACAUGGCGUCCAUGCCAGCAACUUUAUCAUGGCAACAUAGUGUUGGUAAUAUGGUAAGUAAUUUUAUACAACCUAUAGAAAGUAAGCUAUCUCGAUGGUUUUGGCAAGGUAUUAACACACUUCCACAAAGCCAUUUCUCUAAGGAUCUUACGAAAGUAAAUUAUUUUGAUAAAUAUCUGUGGCAAGGAAUAUUUAACGAGAGAUUAGAAUCACUUAAAGAACAAUUCGCAUUUGAAUUCACAGAACAACAAAAAUCUCUGCCAAUACAGAAUAAUGUAGUAUUAACAAAAAUUGAUAAGGUAAAGGAUCAAAUAAUAGCUGACUUACCACAAGAUAAAUUGGUACUAGAAGACCAAUUGAUUUAUCUGCAAGGUAUUGUUGGUAAAUAUAUGCUUUCUCCACAAUCUUAUGAAAAAGGAUUAGACCGCUUAAAACAAGUUGUUUCUAAUAAUGAGCAAUACAUAAUAAUUAUUGAAAAAGCAAGAUCUGGAUUUCGAUCUGAGCUGAAAAAGCAACCAGCAUUAUUAGCAGAAUGUUUACAAGGUGAUGUUUUAUUCUUAAUUCAACAUCAUUCAGAGUCAUCUCAGAACUCAUUAACACCAACACCCUUAAAAAAAAUAUUGAGUUAUUACAAACCAUUAAUGGCACAUAAAUCUUAUGUCAGACAUCAGAAUUGGUUACAAGAAUGUUACAAUACUCAGUCACUGUUACCACCACCAGUUAUCAAAAGACAUGUUACAACAGAUACCCCAUCGAAUGAAAGAAAAGAAGAGAAGAAAACAUGGAAUCGAUCCAUACGUAAUUUGUGGAAAUUAUUAUGCGAGCAUGCUGGUAAAUUAAUUACAUUAGGAUUAGCUACUCAAGUGACAGUUGCUCAAGCACUAGAAACUCAUGUAACUCAACAGCAUUCUAGACUCAGAAUAGGCUUAGCCAAUCGGUCUAAUUUAUUAGAUACAUUAGAAAGAGUGAACCGAACAUUUACUAAUAAUACAACAUUAUUAGACUUUAAAACAUUACCUACACCCAUGGAGCGUUGGUCAUCUACUUUAGACAAUAAAUCCGCCCGAGAAACAAUAACUUUUGAGAAUAAAGGUUACACGAACAGCACAGAAAUAUUUACAUUACCAUUCAACGUCAGUGCUGGUUCUGAAUUUGAUCAAUACAUGGUAAUUAAACAGGAAUUGAAACAGGAGAUAUUGAAUCAGUUUGAUAAGAUCAAUGAUGAUUUGCUUGCACUCAUAGAAAUAUUUAGUGCAAAUGUGAAUACUGAAUUAUUGGAAGCGAAAUCUAAUCAAACGAUGUUAUUUCGUGUAAUCAGAGCAUCUUUUCCAUUUAGUCAACGUCAAAACUGCAAUGUAUCAAAAGAUAAGCUAGUUGAACUUCAAAAUACGAUAAAUGAUACAUUGUCAAAUGUUAAUACUCCAAGAGAUAGCAAUUGUGAAUUAAAUACUGUUAAUACUAGUAGUUGUGAUGAAUUAAUCCAAUUAAUACAGUGUGGAGUUAAUCAUUUUAAAAAUGGAUUUCUACAAGCAACUGAAAAUAAAAUUUUAUUAACAUCAUAUACUAAGUUAGACAAUGCUUAUAAUGAUUUACAUGCACAAUUUCAAAACAUGAGUGAUAAAAUAAGACAGCAAGUUUCACAAGAAUAUCAGCAGAUAUUAAAUGAAUUAAUCAAAGAUUUUCAACUAUUAAGAAGAUUAUUAAACAGUUUAAAAGUAGAAUUAGCGCAAGAAAUAGAAGGAAAUUGUAUUUCAGAAAUCGGCCAUGGGCACAUUAAAACAGCUGUAAGUAAAUUUCAAAAACUAAAUGAUUUUGGUAAUGGUCAUCUAUUACAUUAUAUUAUAGAUCAGGCAUAUACUAAUUAUGGUCAACUGAAUAAUUUUGACAAUAUAAUAAAUUUUAUAGCACAGCUACCUUGGUUUUCAGAUAGGGUGAUAAGCUAUGAGGCACUAUAUGAUAAAAUGGAAAAAAAAUCUCCUAAAAUAUUAAUUUUUGUGAGCCAGAUUGAACAAGCCAUAGGGAACCAGUAUAUGCUUAAGAAUGAACCAAUAUUUGUUUCUAGGCUAAAUAAUUUAAAGAGUAGGGCAAUGAUUUAUUUUAAUAAUAUCAUUGAUGCAUGGGCCUAUAAGAUGCGGAAUAAUGAUGCUAAAGAAAUUAUGGAAUUUGCUAAAAAAUAUGACUGUGAUACCAAAAAGUCUAUCCUAGCUCUAGUAAGAGAAAGAGAAUAUGCAAGUGAUUGAGAAAAUGCAGAAACAUAAUAGCGUUUAUUCUAGAUCUACGUUGCCACGGAAGUGGUGCUGUAGUUUGUUAUCUUUGUUUAAGCAAAUGCACCGUAACCCGCCAAAAAAUUUUUCUAUAUAACAUUACAGAAAUGUUUCGUUGAAAUGUUACUGAAGCGUUGCGCUAGACGUUAUUUAAACGUUGCAAAUAAAUAUUUUGUAACAUUAUACAUGGUACAUCUUUGAAUAGUGCAAAUAUUUUAAUUGGUGGUACAUAAUGGCCCUAGAAGCAGAACUAGGGGAUUGCCCUGCUUCGAGGACAAAAAUAAUAUUUUCGAGCCUGUGAAUUGUAAAUUUAAAACAUUUUGAAACAAGUUAGAUUAAAAUGUUCUGCAAAUAUUUUUAUGAAAACGUUAUAGAAUCAUGAAACUGUAUAAGUGAUUCCUUGAUGAGUACAAAUAUUUUAACUGGUGGUACAUUUUUGUCCUCGAAGCAGGGACAAUCCUAUAGUUCGGUUUCUAGAGCCAUUAUGUUCCACCAAUUAAAAUAUUUGCACUCUUCGUAGAUACACCAUGUAUAAUGUUACAAAAUAUUUAUUUGCAACGUUUAAAUAACGUAUAGCGUAACGCUUCAGUAACAUUUCAACGAAGCGUUUCUGCAAAGUUUCAUUUGCAGUUACAUAAACAUUUCUGAAACAUAUAGUGCAGGUAACUGAAACGUUUCGGGAUUUUAAUAUACGCUUCUCAAACGUUUCGGAAACGAAAAGAUGUUUAGCGGGUAGAAGAUUAAUUUGGAAAGGAAAUAAUUGUAUCAUACACAGUCUAGCCUAUAAUUGUCAAUAUGUGUACCCUGUGUAAGAUAAUGGUGGUUACGAUUUAGAGAUGCUAUGUGAAAAUGAUGCUAUUACUUGAAAAAAAACACACAGAAACUCCAACAAGAGAAGGAUAUUGGAAGAUUGAUGUUAGUAAAUUUUUGUUGUUGUGUUGUAACAUGUUAUAACGUUUUCAAGAGGUAAUAACAUAAUAAAUAUUACGUCACAAACUUGGCAGAAAGUGUAACUAUAGGGCGUUAGUUUGUACUUGUUGCAGAUAACACUAUAUAAUAACACUUACAUUAAGUAAAGCAAUAUUUUUCUGUUGGCAAUUUGUCAGGUGGUCGAUCGAAAUAAUACAUCUGGAAACAAUUUAGAAAAAGUAAGUGAGAAACAACUAAGCAACGAUUUACUUGAAAAGUUAAUAACCAAGUAUUAGUUAUUAGAGGACUAUCUGUUUUACAUGUAUUAGAACUAGCUAUUUUAUCACUUGCCAUAACUGCUCCAGUAUACAGGGUGAUUCAAAUCUGGCGUCAUUCCUUUUAAGGGGUGAUACAGGCUCACUUGGAGAGGACGAGAAAAAUAUUGCAGUUUUUUUUUUGGAAAAUUUCUAGAAGAUAUUAACAGUUGAAGAUCCAAUGUCAACUUUGUUAUUAAGUAUUAUUUUGAAAUGUCCCAUCUUUCAUUGGUGGCCUAUUGGAAUACUUGACCGUUUGUAAAGAAAAUUUGCGAUCAUAUAGCGUAAAAAACACGCUUCUACAAUUUUUUGACAAAAAGUCAAAGGGGCGCUGAUGUUUUUUGCCAUUAACAGAUAGUUACAGGUUGAUAGCCUUUGUCAAUACUAACAAGCAUUUAUCAAACUGUGACUUACUUUGAAGCUCCUUUCACAAAAUGUACAGCAACAUCGAAUUUGCGAAUAUGCGAUUAGUUCUCGGUAAAUGCCACAGUAACCGUAAUCAGAAACUGUAAGUAAGUUAGACCAGCCAAGGGUUAGAGACACUGGAUAAAUGGCUCCAGGAAUUGACGAAGUUAGUGUAUGUUCUUGACAUACUCGGGUUCCAGACCUAGAGGAACAGGUAUUGGAGAUAAUUGCAGCUGAGCCUUCAGGGGUACUCGAAGCAUUGCACGACAACUGACCCUUUUUGAGCCAUCGGAUAAGUGCCCCUUUAGCUCCCACGAGGCAGAGCUACAUUCCUACCAUGUUGCAUGUCUGUAAGAUACACAGGACCCAAUAACAAAUUAUAUAUCUGAUCUGCUCAACCCCGGUACAUAUUGAGCAGGAGUUAAUUAAGCGAAUACGAGAAGCUGCUCAAAAUGUGAGCCCAGACUGCUGCCAAGACCUGGUUGGAGUUAAACGGGGCAGAACGUCAAACCUCUCUUGAUGUUUUUGAUGACAGCUGUGACGGAUUGCAUAUGCCUAAUACCACUCAUUUGCCCCAAAAAGGUGGGCAGAACUGACCGCAAUGUGACAACGUUAUCCGAACCUCAAAGUAUUUCAUUGUAACUUAUCUUUCUUUGCUUUUCUUGGUUUCUAGAUUUUGUAGUAAUAAAAAAACAACAUGUAUUAACGUAGAGUUAAAUAGGCAGAUUAAUUUCAAAAACAUUGUUGCCAUCCUUCUGUUUUAGCUUUUUGCAAAUAUACCCCUUUUUAUUAACGAUUAA